AGAGGAGGUGUAUGCUGACCCGGGAGGAUCCCAACAGCAGUCAAGAAGGGAAGAGGAGGAUGCGCAGCAAGAAGAAGAUCCCACCAGAGCCCAGCCCACCAAAGCCCAGCCCAACCCAGAUGUGGAUCCAAUUCCGCGACCAGGAAGCCUAACAGAGAAGCAUUUUGAAUUUAUUUCCUUCUCUCUGUCUCCUCUCUGUCUCCUCAGCACUUCCACUAAAUCUAAAAAAACUAACCAUCCCCUACCCCUUAAUCUUCAUUGAAUUUCUGAACUUUGUUUCAUUGAUUUGAAUGUUUACUAAUCUCUUCUCAGUUUCUAUUUUCAGGCACUCGGACGUGGUACAACGCGGGAGCACCCAGCCAGCCGCCCAGCCACAGAUGAAGAGGAAGGAGCCCAUCGCCCAGCCUUGUCUAGCAGCCAACAUUGGCCAAUGCGGAGCGUUGAUCCCACCGAGACGUACAGCAGCAUUCUUGGGAGCAGGGAUCGACUGCGACCGCACACGGAAGAGAGGGUAUGCAGUGUGAGGCAGCCCUCCAUUCCCAGCCCUUUGAAGAGGAGACUGCCAAACCCAAGGAAGGUGCGGGUUAGGCUAGUGUUGAUUUCCAGAUGAAGUGUGGACCGCAGCCUGCCAGAAGAAGUGCACAGAAUUCAGGGACAUACAGCGGCCCACCCCAGCAUUGAAGGUACGGGCUUGGACAGGUUGCGUGGAAGAAGAGCAGACCGACACCAGUAGGCAGCCAUUCUGCGAUGCAUUGCGGUCAAU